rnacentral:rRNA from 1 species
AUUAAUUUGAGAGUUUGAUCCUGGCUCAGGACGAACGCUGGCGGCGUGCCUAAUACAUGCAAGUCGAACGAACUCUGGUAUUGAUUGGUGCUUGCAUCAUGAUUUACAUUU